rnacentral:rRNA from 1 species
GAGGGUUUCGAUUGCGCAGAGAUAAGAUUGAACGCUGGCGGGGGAUCUUACAUGCAAGUCGAACGGCAGCACGGACUUCGGUCUGGUGGCGAGUGGCGAACGGGUGAGUAAUGUAUCGGGUUGUGCCUAGUAGCGGGGGAUAACUACGCGAAAGCGUAGCUAAUACCGCAUACGCCCUUCGGGGGAAAGCGGGGGACCUUCGGGCCUCGCACUAUUAGAGCGGCCGAUAUCGGAUUGUGUGCUGGUUAAGCGGGAUAACGGCUCACAAGGCGGCGACGAUCCGUAACAGGUUUUGAGAGGACGACCAGCCACACGCGGGACGGACGGCCCAGACUCCUACGGGGAGCAGCAGUGGGGGUACUGGACAAUGGGGAAACCCUGAUCCAGCCAUCCCGCGUGUGCGAUGAAGGCCUUCGGGUUGCUAAGCGCACGCUGGCGGGAAAACGGCCUGGGAUAAUACCCCGUGCAACUGACCAGUACCUGCAGAAUGGCGCCGGCUACUGCGUGCCAGCAGCCGCGGUAAUACGUAGGGUGCAAGCGUUAAUCGGAAUUACUGGGCGUAAAGCGUGCGCAGGCGGUUCCGGAAGAAAGAUGGAUAUGCCAGAACCUUUGGAACUGCAUUUUUAACUGCCGAGCUAGAGUGUGUCAGAGGAGGGUGGGAAUUCCGCGUGUAGCAUUGAAAUGCGUAGAUAUGCGGAGGAACACCGAUGGCGAAGGCAGCCUCCUGGGAUAACACUGACGCUCAUGCACGAAAGCGUGGGAGCAAACAGGAUUGAAUACCCUGGUGGUCCGCCUUAUUCAACUGAUCGAACUGUUCUUGGGGCCUUCGGGCCUUGGUAGCGCAACUAACGCGUGAAGUUGACCGCCUGGAAGUACGGUCGCAAGAUUAAAACUCAAGGAAUUGACGGGGACCCGCAUUAAGCGGUGGAUGAUGGAUUAAUUCGAUUGUGUAAAAACGCCUACCCUUGACAUGUCUGGAGUCCCGAAGAGAUUUGGGGUGCUCGCAAGAGAACCGGAACACAGGUACUGCAAUGUCGUCAGCUCGUGUCGUGAAUGUUGGGUUAAGUCCGUAUGAGCGCAACCGCUGUGCAUUAGUUGCUACGAAAGGGCACUCUGAAUGAGACUGCCGGUGGAAACAAAACCGGAGGAAGGUGGGGAUGACGUCAAGUCCUCGCGGCCCCGCUAAGUGCAGAGACUUCACACGUCAUACAAUGGUCAGGAUGAAGGGUCGCCAAACACUUGAGGAGCCAAUCGAGAAACCCGAUCGUAGUCCGGAUCGCCAGUCUGCAACUCGACUGCGUGAGGUCGAAUCUUAGUAAUCACGCGGAUCAGCAUGUCGCGGUGAAUACGUUCCCGGGUCUUGUACACACCGCCCGUCACCAUGGGAGUGGGUUUUACCAGAAGUAGUUAGCCUAACCGUAAAGGAGGGCAUUACCACAGUAGGAUUCAUGACUGGGGUGAAGUCGUAACAGGUAA